GUCCAGCUUUAGAAGCUGCUGCGCUAUAGCAGUUGCUGGCACAUACUUGGGGCCACCUGCUCAGCCCUGGGAGUCCUUUUAGCUGAUAGCUACAGGG